rnacentral:rRNA from 1 species
UACGAAGGGGGCUAGCGUUGCUCGGAAUCACUGGGCGUAAAGCGUGCGUAGGCGGUUCGUUAAGUCUGCUGUGAAAUCCCUGGGCUUAACCUAGGAACUGCAUUGAAUACUGGGUAACUGGAGUACUGUAGAGGGUAGUGGAAUUUCCGGUGUAGCGGUGAAAUGCGUAGAGAUCGGAAGGAACACCAGUGGCGAAGGCGGCUACCUGGACAGAUACUGACGCUGAGGCGCGAGAGCGUGGGGAGCAAACAGG